rnacentral:lncRNA from 1 species
AUCUGGCUGUUGAAUGUGAGGUUCAUCUGAGAGACGUGCUUGCCCUUCCCCCGGGUGUCUGUAAUUUCCCUAAACCUGCCCACCUGGGGAUGUCAUGUAUAUAGAUUCAUACUUUAAUUCUAGGACCACCCUAGUACCUAAUUGUCUUGGCUUACACAUGUUAUCAUUCCUAACGGUGAGCAACUUUCCUUGAAAAGGGCAGGGGUAUUUUGUUUUUAUUGUUUUUUUCACUUCCAAAACCAAGACACUUUUCUUCUAGAUAAAAAUGGAAAAUGCCUGAAGGGAUUUGAAUUUUUUUUCAGAAGUUAUAUUAUGCAAAUGUAAUUAUAUAUUUAAGAAUAGAAAUAAAAUAGUAUCCUAC